UUUGUCGACUAAACGCCCCAGUAAUUGUGUACUGUCGGGAAGACGGAGACGGCCCAACUGCACCAGUUGA